UACGUAGGGACCAAGCGUUGUUCGGAUUUACUGGGCGUAAAGGGCGCGUAGGCGGCGUGUUAAGUCAGCUGUGAAAUCUCCAGCUUAACUUGGAACGGUCAGCUGAUACUGAUGUGCUAGAGUGCAGAAGGGGCAAUCGGGAAUUCUUGGUGUAGCGGUGAAAUGCGUAGAUAUCAAGAGGAACACCUGAGGUGAAGACGGGUUGCUGGGCUGACACGUGACGCUGGAGGCGACGAAAGCUAGGGUAGCAAACGGG
rnacentral:rRNA from 1 species